CACGCCGCAUGCGCGUCGUGCCAUUUGCGGGAGCGUGGGUAGCCAUGCCCUCGAAAGCACCUUGGUCCAAUCCCAUCGCCCCGCAUGCCACAACCCCUCCCUCCCUCUUCGAUCUCUCUCCCUCCUCAGCCGCCACAAACCCUAGCCCCCUUUCCUACGAUCCAGCCGUCGCUACCCCUCCUCCAUCCAACCUCCAUCGUCAGCCGCCGCCGCCGCUACGGCUCCUCCGUCCACCGACUCCGUCCGUGCAGGUGGCCAGUUUCCUUCCGCCUCGACCUUCUCCACGGUCUCCCCAGUUCACCCCCCAUCCCUUGCUGCCCGAGGUGCUCAUCUUCCCAGGUCGUGAGGAAGCCGCGUGGGGAUGGAACCACCACGUCGUGCCGCUGGGGGAAGCCUUGGAUCCACGCAGGGGGCCUCCCCGGGGGCGCAGAGGAGGGGUUGUGGAGGCGUGAGGCCAGAAGGACCCCUCUUGCGUCGCUCGUCUCCACCUCAUAUCCGGCAUCUUUGCUGCCGCCAUAGAUCGAGGAGGACGGCACGAUGACGACCAUGAUGUAUCGGACAUCCCAGAUUGACGAUGCCAUGGAAGCCAUGAGAGCUGGCCAAGGAAGAGGGGGCAGUGUCGCAGGCCAUGAAGGGCACGGCGGCUGCGGGCGGAAGCAGCAUGGGUUGAAGGAGCGGCGGAUGUGGGCGGGGUCGGAGGUUGGGGGAGACUCGUCGGCUGGGCGACAGCGAGCGCCGGUGAGUGCAAGCAUGUGUUUCCAAAAGCGUCAUCUCUUACAAGGCAGGCAAGGACGACGUCGUCGCCCUCGCAGGUUCUACGAUCUGUCACAUCUCUGUUCUCCUCGUUAAGGUUUUUGUGGGUGCUAUCAUGGUGUUUGGUCUGCUGAUCAUUUUAAUGUUCUGAGAGGGGAGGCGGCCAAUGACAGGGAGAAGGAGGAGGCUGUUGAGGAGUGCAAGCAGAAGGUUUCCGGUGACUGGAAGUCUGAAACUGAAGACAGGGCAUAUUGUUUUGGUUAUGAGUGGUUGGAAAUAUUGUGGCUUGAUGUCCCUAGAGCAGUCAGACCCUUCCAAGAUAGGUGUUAAAAUCCUAGGUGCCAAGGGCAUUGUGGUGGUGCAAUCCAUGUCUCCUGCGAGCGCUCGGCAUGGCGUCCAUAGCCCCAAAGAGCAAGGCUUCAAGGUUCUUUUCAUUGAAUGACUUGAUUUGUUUCUCCUAUGUUGUGCUCGAUUACUAACUGAAACUGUAGCUCUGCUAUGUAUCAGGCUGGACAACAAGCUUCACUUGAUGAAAGCAUUUCCCUUCUAAAAUAGAGUAAUGCUGAGAUUAAUGCACAAGUUAGUCUUGAUACUAAGGUGGUUAUGGGAUUGCUUGAUCUAUGCUAGGCCAAUAUGUCAGCCAACCACUUAAAAAUAAUCACUUGCAUUUCUUCCUAUGAACUCUGAAACCUGACGAGUGACGACGCAUAAAAAAUUAGCAAUAGAAGGUGUCAGUGAACACGAGUACUCAGUCAAGAGCAAUAUAGCGGUAGAUACUUUACAGUGUAAUUUUAUAUAAGAAUAAAUAAAUGGCACUUAAGUUGUUAAGAAAUUGUUGUUGGAGUAUUGUCUCACCCUUUAUCUACUCUCUCGAAAACUGUGGAUUGCUAUGGGCUGGAGCUCCAGGGGAGGAGGGAGGUAAGCGUGGAUGCAAUGGAUAUUGUUCGGAUAAAAAGUUGGGUGGAAACUGAGUAGUGACGGUGAGACUUAUUCCAUUUGUUUCUCCUUUGCCCUUUUAAUCAAGAACAACGUUCAGAGCUUGCAUGGUUGUCGAAAUAUAAUUCUGUAAAAGAGAAAUAUUGAUAUCAUGCAAUGAUCAAUGCAGAGUAGGAUAGUUAUAGAGUUCUUCCUUAGUUUUCAUUGAGCAAAGAUUGGAUCUGUGCGAUUUGUUCUAAUACCAAGUAAAUCUUGGUCUGCAUAGUUUUUUUCCUAUAUUCUUUUAAAAAAAUUGGGACUUGAUGUGAAAAAGGGUGUGUGUUGACAUGCAUGUAACCAAAUCAUGGAUUAAUGCGAGGUACUAUAUAUACUUGCCUAUCUCUCUGCAAAAGCUUAUGGCCCUCUUUGAUACGACUAGGAACAUCAAAACCAAAUGGGAUUUAUUUGAGUGUACUUCAGAUGGCCAUACUAUAAGUGCACCAUUACUAAAUAGUAUAUGAAUCUUCCUUGUAUAAUUAAGAUGCACUUUCUACAUAGCGCUUCUAUAUAUUGAUACUGUGUGAUCACUUAACAUAAAUCUGGCUAGGCGAUUUGCUCGCCUAAUUCUCUGGUUGCAUAUAAUCCGAUCCUGAUAGUGACAUGAUUUACUCUGUUUGAUCAAACAGGUAGAAGCCAAAGCUGUUUUACGUGAAUCUAAUGACGUCCCCGCUGCUAUAAGCUAGGAGUUUGAUAAAUUCAACAUUGGCAAUCUGGUCUUGUGCUCUUCGUCCAAAAGCAUAUUCUGAUAGUGAGAUUCUUAUUGUGGAUGUUUCAGCGUCAACCUGAAUUUUGUUUAACCUACUACAGAAAGACCUUCUAGGGUGAUUAGCUGCAGUACUGUGACAAAUAAUGAAAAAAACUCAGUGUCUUCUCAUUUAAUAUUCUAGCUGCAACUACUUGACUACAAGUUUUAUGUGGAAUUUUUCUGUACAGCUUGCACAAACUCAGUGAGAUCGGGAAUCAUCAUCUCACAUUUUUUUCUCUUGAAAGGUAGGUGUCAUCUCCUACAUUUUUUUCUCAGAAUUAAGCAUGUUUCUAAGCCUUGCUUGAAAGUUUCUCAUUAUUAACUUAACAACCAACCUGGACGGCAAAAAUUUACUUCACUUGGUAACAGGGGUUGGACACCGAAAGCUUGCUAUCUAAUUUUCUUCUCUGUAGAUGAAAACAAGUACGCCUAUAGUUGGACACUGAAAGUUUGCCAAAAUUAUUUUUAGAGCUGUAUAGUGUUUACGUUAAUGUAAAUCCUUGCUCAUGUUACACCUUUCUUGUUCUUAUGGAGAAAAAAUUAGCAUAUUAACCAUUUCUAUACUUUUUUGUCCUUUUCUUUUAAUACAGUAGUGUCCAGGCUUAUGGAUUCCUAUAUUUUUAUUGUCAAUCUAGCAUACUUAUGUCACUCCCCUCUUGUUUUAGCUGUUGAUGGAUGAUUUUUGCCAUUUAUCUUUAUUCCCAUUUUAUAUAUUGUGAUUACUGCUUCAUUAUUUAUCAACUGAGGCAUGUUGUUGUGCACUUCUUACUGAUGAUGAUCCUGGUGUUGUUUGUUUGAGAAAAGAAAGAGACAACUCGAUGUGCAUAUUUAUCCUUAUAUUGUUCAAUUAUAAUGGGAUGAAGUAACUUAAUGACUGAUAGUGUUGUUGGCAGUGAUAGACAAUAGGCAAUUUACUAGAGCAGUUCAAGCAAGAAUACUUCCAGAAUACAUCUUGUGAUCUGUUGGUAACAACACCAAGUUUGCCAACUUGUUCAACCAAACAAAGUGUAUAACAUGCUUCAUUUUUGCAAGUAUAGAAGAAGGAAAAGAGAGCAUUGGAUUUUGAGUUAACGAAAUAUAUUUGCAAAAAAGAGAGUUAAUGAAAUAUUCUCAAUCAAGAAAACUCAAGGUCGGUUCAGUCAACAGAAAAGAAUAAGGUGAAACCUCUUGCGUUUUUUUAUUAGCGCACACAUGGCUCUAACAUUCGAUAGUUGAUCUUUAUUUAUUCACUCAACGUUGUGUUAGCCAUAGACCUCUCUCUCUCUCUCUCUCUCUCUCUCUCUCUCUCAAACCAGCUUCUCAUGCAAGAUCUUAUCCUAUGCCAAGUUAUUCUGUGGGUAUCGUUUUAAAAUAUUUAUCUUUGUUGUUCCGCUUAGCUACACCAUCCUUGAGUGUUUUUUAUGGAAUCUAGAAAACAAAGUGCUUUGCUUCUUUCCUUAAUUGGUUCAUGGUUCCAGGUGUGCGUUGGACAGUGUCACUGAGGGUCCAGUUUCUCAUUUUUCAGAUUUUGUAGUAGCAGAGAUGUGUAGAUAACUGAACUGGUGUUUAGGCGUUUCAGUGCAGGACUGCUACUUGCUCGAUUAGUUAGAUGAACUGGUGUUUAGAGAUUUCAGUGCAGAGUGAUGUUUCAGUUUUGAUUGCAGGGCUUCGAGAUGCACCGUGAGGGCUGAAACGAGUCUUAUACCGGGUCUUUCAUGAAUUUAGUUAGCCUAAAUACUUCCAGAAUCCCUCUUGCAAUAUGUAAGUCUGUUGGUAACAACACUAAUUUUGCCAGUUUGUUCUGCCAAACAAAAUGUGGAACAUACUUCAUUUUUGCAGGUAAAAGAAGGAAAAUAGAACAUUGGAGGAAAAGCCAGCAGAGUGGAUUCUUUAAGCUUUCUCAAAUGUUUGAACAAGGAAAAGAUAGUUACAAUCAUUUUUCUCUCGCCUUGUUACAUCUUGAUGUUAAUAGGCUUUGGAAGGUACUAUGCACCCCGUUCAAGGUUUACAGAAUUUGCACGAUCCUAUUACAGUUUGUUCUGAUGACAGAAUUGACUAGUUCUUCCUUGAGGAAAUUAAUAUUUCAGCUGCUA